UUGAGUAGGUGACAUUUCAAGUUUAAGAAUUUAUACUUAUUAUUAUUGGGUUUUUUUUAAUUGUGCGAAUCAAUUUGGACAUAAAGAUUGUUCCCGAGAAGUAUGAAGUAAUUCUGUUGGCCGGUUUUAAUAUUAUCUUUAAAACAUCGCAAUCCGGGACCAUCGGGAGUCGGCAGUACUAGAUUUACCGCCCACCUGAUGCGCUACGUAAACGAAGUUGUUGAUCGAUGCAUCGUAAUGUCCGAGUGCUGCAUGCUGCGAGAUUAAAUACUGUUUAUACAGUCAUUGAGAGGCUAAACAAAGUUUCUUGCAAGAAGAGGAAGUUGGUGGAUGCAUUCAACUUGGACAACGAAAUCAUAGUUUUGUUUGGCAUCAGCCUGAAGACCGAGGGAGGUUAGAUAGGAUCAGUGCAGGUUGAAAUGGAUUUCGAGUCAACAAGUAUAACAGCAGGUACUCCAUUUACAGUGAUGAUGACAUAUCCCUUGGACCCCCACAACUCCAUAAAUUUAAAAAUGUUUGAUCAAGUUCCGAAGAUUAAAGAACUACUGCAAAAUUUGGGACUGGAUGAAAAACAUUAAUUCACUUAUAUGAGCUUAGAGCAGUGGAUGUUGUACAACAUACUUUAAACUAAAUUGUGAAUUUAAGGGAAAACAAGUACAUGUACUCGUAUAUUACAUGUACAUGCCUUUUGAAAGACAAUAAUAUUGCAUAGAUGUAAAGGAAAUUUCAAUGUUGAUUAUUCUUUCUUAGAUAUAUUAGUAAAAAAUGUGCACAUGAUAGAAUAUCAAUUUUAUAAUUUCAAUCAAUGUGUUUGAACUUUCCUUGUAAUUCAAAAUUUAGUUGAAACAUACAUCAUUGAUACAUUAAUGUACAUAAAUUUUUUUUAGAAAAGUUUCAUAAUGGAACUAAUUCACCCCC